rnacentral:rRNA from 1 species
GACGAACGCUGGCGGCGUGCUUAACACAUGCAAGUCGAACGGUAAGGCCCUUCGGGGUACACGAGUGGCGAACGGGUGAGUAACACGGGGGUGAUCUGCCCUGCACUUCGGGAUAAGCCUGGGAAACUGGGUCUAAUACCGGAUAGGACCCUGGGAUGCAUGUCCUGGGGUGGAAAGCUUUUGCGGUGUGGGAUGGGCCCGGGGCCUAUCAGCUUGGUGGUGGGGUGAUGGCCUACCAAGGCGACGACGGGUAGGCGGCCUGAGAGGGUGACCGGCCACACUGGGACUGAGAUACGGCCCAGACUCCUACGGGAGGCAGCAGUGGGGAAUAUUGCACAAUGGGCGCAAGCCUGAUGCAGCGACGCCGCGUGAGGGAUGACGGCCUUCGGGUUGUAGACCUCUUUCAGCACCGACGAAGCGCAAGUGACGGUAGGUGCAGAAGAAGGACCGGCCAACUACGUGCCAGCCGCCGCGGUAA